rnacentral:rRNA from 1 species
UACGGAGGAUGCAAGCGUUAUCCGGAUUUAUUGGGUUUAAAGGGUGCGCAGGCGGGAGAUUAAGUCGGCGGUGAAAUUUUGCAGCUCAACUGUAAAAGUGCCUUCGAAACUGGUUUCCUUGAGUGUGGAUGAAGUAGGCGGAAUUUGUGGUGUAGCGGUGAAAUGCAUAGAUAUCACGAGGAACUCCGAUUGCACAGGCAGCUUACUAAACCAUAACUGACGCUCAGGCACGAAGGCGUGGGGAUCAAACAGGAUUAGAUACCCU